UCUGCAUUCUUGCAUGAUGUUCUACUUCUACCUCUUGAUUAUUUGUUUCUCUUUGGCAAAUAGGAGACACACUGUGUUGUUGCAAUCAAAAUUGUGGGCUUCUUGGGGCACAUUUUGCUCUUGAUUUCAUUAGUACGAUGGUGAAUGGAGGGCACAUUGUGAUUUUUUAGAUCAGAAUUGUGGUUCCUUGGGCUGCCUUAAUGUGUUGAUUUCUUUUCUUUAUACGAUGAUAGAUAUAGAAUUGUCUAAUUGCAGGUACAAGGUGCUAAAGCCAUCAUGUUUACCAGUUUGCUACAUGUUCUCUCAAUUUGGUAGUAAUUGUCAGUUUGGAACAUGUAAUCUGAGUGUUAGUCAGUUUGCUACAUGUUUCUGAAUUUGUGUCAAUCUGAGUUUGGACCAUGUUAUCAACUUUUGUCAAUCUGCCACCUGUAAGUGGCGCUGCUAUCUGUUUCUGAAUUAUUUAAGUUUUGUUCAUGCAUGUGGCAUUGGUAUCUGUUUCUGAAUUAUUUUGAUUUGGUUCAUUUAAGUGGACCAUGUAAUCUUGUCUCUAUUCUUUUGAAUUCAGUAAGUUAGCUGAGGGGAAUUGCAGCACAUGAAAUAAUGCAGGAAAGAUAGAUGCAAACGUAUCAGGCCCAUUUAAUCUCUACUGGCCCACGUAGGCAAAUUCAAAUAUUUAAGGGUUAAGUUUUCAGCAGUCUGUUGUGGGUUUAAAAAAUUUUAGGGAAACUUUUUUUACAGCAGCCCCCAAUAUAAAGUUUUUGGAAACAAUUUUUAAGCAGUCUGUUGGAGUUGCUCUUAAGCGUGGUGAUGUCGAGCGUGUCCAGGUUAGAUUUCUUGAAUUCAAAAUUGUCUGAGAAGUUUUUUGAAAUAUUCACUUAAUUGUUUUGCCUGGAAACCACCUUGCAUUUGAUGGUACAUGGUUGCACGAUCACCAAACAAAUUAUACAAUUCUCUUAAUCCUGAUCCUCAGUGUAUGUUCCUUGAUUUCUAGGUGUCCAAUAUCGAAACUGAACGAUCUCGAAUGUUGACACCCUGUCGUUUCCUACCAUUUCAGGUGGUGUGCAAACCUGGUAGUCUGAAGACAUACAAAAAGUUCGAGGCGGAAAUAUAUGUCCUCACAAAGGAUGAAGGUGGCUGGCACACUGCCUUUGUCACAAAUUACAGCCCCCAAUUCUACUUCAGGACAACUGAUGUCACUGGAAGAGUUGAGUUGCUUGGGGAGAUGAAGAUGGUUUUGCCCGGUGAUAAUGUAACUACGAAUUUUGAGUUGAUAUCACUUGUUCCUCUUGAACCUGGUAACGACUGCAUUCUCAAUUUCUUUCGACAGUAUAGAACUAUAGAUCAGGUCUUCUGACAACAUGUUGUGCUUCGUGAUGCCAUUGCACGCUCCAAGCUACUUUUUUUCAUUGAAUACUAAAGAAAUUCAUAUUGGAUAGUCAACUCAUGCCUUUGAUGCAGGGCAAAGAUUUGUGCUUAGGGAAGGAGGAAGACCGGUCGGUGUUGGAGUCGUCUCCAAAGUUCUUAGCUGAUCAGUUUCCACUUUCUUCUCCGUAGCAAUUCAGUGAACAAACGAGUGUUGAUAUGUCCGACCUGGUUAGAAACGAGCGCAAAGCAUCGGGUUUUUUUUUGCAUUUUUCUUGGGAUGCCUGAGCAAAGGCAGAGCUGGCUUGGCCAGUGGCCACCAUUUUAUUGUUGAGGUGUGGUGCUGUGUAACACCACGAUUAGUUUGGUGCUUUUCUUUUGUAGUUUUUACAUUUUAUAUAUAGGUUUAAUUUAGAUCAUUAGGUCUUCAUAUAAUCUAAUGGUGAAUAUUUUUCUCCUUUUCUCGAUUAAUCUUGAGAUUUCAGUACCCUCUCCGCGCACGUGGAUGCUUCUUUUGACUAUGUUGUAUUAAUAUAAAUAUAUACAUUCCUCGUUUGCCAUUAAUGACUUCAUCCUGUGCAUUCUCUCGAUGAUAAACGCAGGUUUCUGAAAGCCAGGAAGUUCGAUUCCAACAAGACAAUGCAAAUGUGGUCAGAGAUGUUGAAAGCCAGGAAGUUUGACUAUUUUUUGGCAUUGACCUGAUUCUCCAAGGGAAGAAGCAAUUUGACAUGGAUCCUCCCGCCGGCCCCUUUCGGUACUAAAGUGAGGUGCCCUGUAAUUUAGCUCUGACUCUAGGGAUCAUACCAAGUAUUUGGUCAGGUGAAGAGAAAUUUGCACAAGUGUUACUAAUAUUAAUAUCAUAAACUACAAAGUAUUUGAUAUGUGCAUGCUUAAACUGCAUUGUCUCAGUCUUGUUCUAGAUACACCAGCAGUCAACCAUAUACAUGGAAUCUGUAGUAUAGCUAUUUGUCACUACCUUGUCACUUGGGAGCAUUGAAUUAAAUACCAGUGUUUUAUAUAUCAGGUUCUGUUCUUCAACCUUGGGCAUGCCCACCCAUCCAUACUGAGUACUGACACCGCUUGCAUUUGGUCUAGAUAUGUGUGGAAGUUCUUGAUCCCUCACCCCCUUCUAUUUUUAUUUUUUUCUUUCCAGACUUUCUAUGCUACAAGAUCUGAACAAUAUAAAGUACCACCUUAAGAAAACAAGUAUAUUAUUUUGAUUUUGCAUACCAGAUUUUUUGUGCUGCAAGAUUGUACAUUUGUUAAUUCUGAAUGUGUUGCCUGCAGGAGGACCCGACUAUGAUUGAAUCCUACAAUAACAAGAGAACAUCUGGCUGAUCUGGUGGUGAAGGAGUUACAUCUACGCUAACCAUGGAGGAACCGACUAUGAUUGAAUCCUACAAUAACAAGAGAACAGUUGGCUGAUCUGGUGGCGAAGGAGUUACAUCUACGCUAACCAUGCUCAAGGUCAUUGGUGAUGGUGGUUAUCCAAACGACCACUAUGACAAGGAUGAUCAUCAAUGAGGCCUUGUGUCGAUAAUUAUAAUAACAACUUUGUGAAACAUGGUUUUGCCCCAUCUUUGCAGCAUCAUAUUGUCCUAUAGUAUUGUAAUUGAUAAGUGUUUGAGCAUGAAGCAGGUUAGGUGGUGUUCUACACCUACGAAUUACGCAAUCACAUAUAGAUUGUUUCUAUGGGUUUUUAGCCAUGUACUGUAGUGAAUCUUUAUUACUGGCAUACAACAUCUCACAACAGUUCUAAUAAUGAGCAAUAAACUGAUAUGUAUUUACUGGUUU